rnacentral:rRNA from 1 species
AUUGAACGCUGGCGGCAGGCCUAACACAUGCAAGUCGAACGGUAACAGGAAGAAGCUUGCUUCUUUGCUGACGAGUGGCGGACGGGUGAGUAAUGUCUGGGAAACUGCCUGAUGGAGGGGGAUAACUACUGGAAACGGUAGCUAAUACCGCAUAACGUCGCAAGACUAAGAGGGGGACCUUCGGGCCUCUUGCCAUCGGAUGUGCCCAGAUGGGAUUAGCUAGUAGGUGGGGUAACGGCUCACCUAGGCGACGAUCCCUAGCUGGUCUGAGAGGAUGACCAGCCACACUGGAACUGAGACACGGUCCAGACUCCUACGGGAGGCAGCAGUGGGGAAUAUUGCACAAUGGGCGCAAGCCUGAUGCAGCCAUGCCGCGUGUAUGAAGAAGGCCUUCGGGUUGUAAAGUACUUUCAGCGGGGAGGAAGGGAGUAAAGUUAAUACCUUUGCUCAUUGACGUUACCCGCAGAAGAAGCACCGGCUAACUCCGU